GGGUGUGGUACUGAGGCUUCAGCGGGUGCCGCCCGCCUAGAGGGAGUGGAGCGGUGAGCACGUCAGGGGUGGGGGGCGCAGGUCAAGCUUUCACCAGUUUUUAAUUCUUUGAUGGGGUAAAUUUGAGCAAUUUUCUCGACUUGUCGACAUUCGUUAUUAACUGAGCAGGAAUCAGGAGAGGAACCCGGUCCUCUCCACACAGCCCAGCAGGUACGCCGCCCAUGUGCCUGUGGAGAAGAGAGGUUCCUGUGGGGCAGACAGAGAGCCUACGACUAGAUUUGCAUCUUUACGUCCUGCGCGGAGGCUGCUACACACAUGCAGAAGUCAUGCUGGUGGCCUGGACAUUGAAGGGAGAGAAGUGGAUUUGGGAGACAUUUAGGAGGAACAGUAAGAGGACCUUGUGCAUGAAUAAUUUGUUUCCACACUACAGAGUGGGUAAUAAGCAGAUUAGUAAAAACAAUUCUGCUUCACUUCAAUAACAGCCUCCUCCAACUCAUUUUUUCUCAACAAACUUAUUUUUCCAGCAGAAGAAUCCCAGUCUUCUUAGAGAACCCAGUGACUUUUUGCACCUUAAAUCUGUGAAAUCCUCAUGUUUUCUUCUGCCGUAUCCAUAGUUCAAACAAAGAUGAGGCAAAGCUAGAUGCAUUCCUGAAGGAACCCAAGAAAUUCCUCUCUUUAUUUCUCUGGAAUGAAAUGAAUUCUCUAGACGACCAGUUCUAACCUUCAAAAACCAAACCUGUUUGUGAGAUCUCCUUCAAAUACUACUGUAGACCCCAG
rnacentral:lncRNA from 1 species